rnacentral:rRNA from 1 species
UACGGAGGGAGCUAGCGUUAUUCGGAAUUACUGGGCGUAAAGCGCACGUAGGCGGCUUUGUAAGUUAGAGGUGAAAGCCUGGAGCUCAACUCCAGAAUUGCCUUUAAGACUGCAUCGCUUGAAUCCAGGAGAGGUGAGUGGAAUUCCGAGUGUAGAGGUGAAAUUCGUAGAUAUUCGGAAGAACACCAGUGGCGAAGGCGGCUCACUGGACUGGUAUUGACGCUGAGGUGCGAAAGCGGUGGGGAGCAAACAGG